GUAGGUGGCAAGCGUUGUCCGGAAUUAUUGGGCGUAAAGCGCGCGCAGGCGGUACUUUAAGUCUGAUGUGAAAGCCCACGGCUCAACCGUGGAGGGUCAUUGGAAACUGGAGAACUUGAGUACAGAAGAGGAAAGCGGAAUUCCACGUGUAGCGGUGAAAUGCGUAGAGAUGUGGAGGAACACCAGUGGCGAAGGCGGCUUUCUGGUCUGUAACUGACGCUGAGACGCGAAAGCGUGGGGAGCAAACAGGGAUUAGAUACCCUGGUAGUCCACGCCGUAAACGAUGAGUGCUAAGUGUUAGGGGGGUUUCCGCCCCCUUAGUGCUGCAGCUAACGCAUUAAGCACUCCGCCUGGGGAGUACGGCCGCAAGGCUA
rnacentral:rRNA from 1 species